rnacentral:ncRNA from 1 species
UUCCUGGUUGAUCCUGCCAGUUGUCAUAUGCUUGUCACAAAGAUUAAGCCAUGCAUGUCUCAGUGCAUGCCGAAUUAAGGUGAAACCGCGAAUGGCUCAUUAAAUCAGUUAUGGUUCAUUAAAUUGUACCGAAAUUUACUUGGUUAACUGUGGUAAUUCUAGAGCUAAUACAUGCAACACAGAGUCCCGACCAGUGAUGGAAGGGACGCUUUAUUAGAUAAAAACCAAUCGGUGGCGCGCGGUCCGCCGUGCGUCCACCGUUUAUUUUGGCGACGCUAAAUAAAUUUGUACUGAUCGUACGGUGUCCGCACCGGCGAAGCAUCUUUCAAAUGUCUGCCUUAGCAACUGUCGAUGGUGGGUUCUGCGCCUACCAUGGUUGUAACGGGGAAUCAGGGUUCGAUUCCGAAAAGUGAGCCUGAGAAAAGGCUCUACCACAUCCAAGGAAGGCAAAAAAACACGCAAAUUAACCACUCCCGGCACGGGAAAGUAGUGACGAAAAAUAACAAUAAGGACUCAUCAGAAGUCCUGUAAUCGGAAUGAAUGCAAAUUAAAUCCUUUAAAAAGGAUUAAUUGAAGGGUAAGUCUGGUGCCAGCAGCCACGGUAAUUCCAGCUCCAAUUACGUAUAUUAAAAGCUAUUGCGAUAAAAGAGCUCGUAGUUGAAUCUAUGUUGCACACGUUCGGUUCACCGCUCGCGGUGUUAAAAUCGAAAUCGCGUCUCUAGACGACUUAAAUACCUGGCGGGGUGUUGUACUCAGUGGAGCAGUCACCACGCUGCGGUCUGUUGAGUCUCAACCCUCGGCUUGGGGAUUCGUCUUGUCGGUUAGACGAGACCCCACGUGCGCGGGCGAUGGACGAGCGUAGGCAACACGACGCGAGCGGACUUGACAUUUUUUCACAUAAAAGCGAAAGCAACACGCCGCGUGGGACUUGGAAAAAUGCCGCUUGAAUGCGAAAGCAACACGCCGCGGAGCACUUUGAAAAAUAUCGCUUGAAAGCGAAAGCAACACGCCGCGGGGAACAUAGAAAAAUGCCGCUUGAAAGCGAAAGCAAUAUGCCGCGGGGGAACUAGAAAAUUGCCGCUUAAAUGCGAAAGCAACACAUCGCUGGGGACUGCGAAAAAUGGAUCUUAAACGCGAAAGCAACACGCCGCUGAGCACUUUGAAAAAUAUCGCUUGAAAGCGAGAGCAACACCUCGCCUAGCACUUUGAAAAAUAUCGCUUGAAAGCGAAAGCAACACGCCGCUUGGGACUUCGAAAAAUGACGCUUAAACGCGAAAGCAACAAGCCGCGGAGCACUUUGACAAACAUCGCUUGAAAGCGAAUGCAACACACCGUAACUCGACAAUACGGUUGAAAGUGCGAUUCGGCCAGUCGGAGGUGACGC